GGACCAACCCUGGCCUCCCAAGUGGGGAAGCUCAGCCUUGGCCCAGGGCUCAGAGAACCAGGGGCUGACCUCUGCUUACGUGCUUGGGGGCUGAUCUCUGCUUACGUGCUUGGGGGCUGAUGACCAGAUGCUGGCUAAGUUCUCCCCCACCCCAAGAUAUCUGGUGGGUGAUCGAGCUUUCAGCACGGGAGAGGCUGCGCUGCGGGGAGCCACCGUGCUGGAGCUGGGGGAUCAGUCCUGGACAGAUGCCUGCCCAGGGCAACGCUCCACACCCUGUUGGAACCACAGACCCACCCUGGGAACCCCGCGUCAAGCCCGUGGUACCAUACUUGCAGGCAUGAGGCACAAUGCUGGGCACCGGGCAGGGCCACGACCUGGCAGGAGAAGCAGAUGGCAGAAACGUUUCAUGAGUCCCCAGCCCGACCCGGCUCCUGCACAGCCCUCCAGCCCCUGCCCAGCGUAGACCCACCUUGGAGACCCCCUCUGACUUUCCACUGCUCUGGGACAGGGACCUGCCACGCCCUCUGCAGACUGUUCUGGCCCCCCACAGCCCUCUCCAAAGAGCUGUUUUCCCUCCCACACUGCUAGACCUGGAGGCCUUGGGCGCAGGCACUCUCCCUGCUCUGACUGUGCUUCCUCUCAAACUCACUGCCCGCCACGUAUAGUCACUCGGCCCUCCUGUGGCAGCUGCCUCCCCGGUCCCGGGGACAGCAGCCCGGACUCCCUGUCUCCCACUCCACUCCCUCCCGCCCCUCCCGGCCCUAGCCUCCUUUCUCCCGGACCGCCUCCCCUCUGUCUCUACGUUGAGUUAAGCGUUCUUCAACAUUUUAAAUUGCAUGAACUUACUGCAUUCAGGUUUCUUUUGAAGAAUUUCUAUUGUCAAACCAGGAAAGCUCACCACUGUGUUACUUCUCUGUUGUUGCUAGAAGAAUUUACCACAAACUCGGUGGCUUAAAGUACCACAGAUUUACUGUAGUUCUGCAGGUCAAAAGUCUGGUAUAGGUCUCUUCAGGCGUUAGCCAGGCUGCAUUCCUUUCUGGAGGUUCUAGGUGAGCCUAAAACUAUUGCCUAGGUUUCCAUUUUCUGCUUCAGGUUGUUGGCCUGCGAGGGUCAGGGACGGCACGGGCACCAGCCAGGAAUUCAUCUCCUUGCAACAGUCAGGCCAAGGUCCCCAUCUUCUUGCCUGCUAUAAACUGAAGGUCAUUUUUGGCUUCUACAGGCACUGCCAUUCCUUGGCUCAUGUACUCAUCCUCCGUCUGCAAAGCCAAAAACAGCCGGUUAAGUCUUUCUCAUGAUCCAUCUGUGGUUUUCUGCAGCCGGACAGCUUCAUGUAAUUAGGUUGGGUCCCCCUGAAUAAUCAAGAAUAAUCUCCCCAUCACAAGGUCCUUAAUCAUGUCUGGAAAUCCCUUUUGCCAUGUAAAGUAACAGUCACAGGUUCUGGGGGUUAGGGCAUGCACAUCCUGGAGAGAGGGCAUCAGUUUUCCACCUACUACAUUACCCUAACCAAAACCAAAAUAAAGUUACCAAGGUGUAUCA
rnacentral:lncRNA from 1 species